AAGGAGUUAGUUAAAAUAUAACAUUAGAAUGUCAAUCUAAAAUAACUAUUAAUAGUACACCUUG
rnacentral:tRNA from 2 species